rnacentral:lncRNA from 1 species
GAUGGUGAGCUUGAAAUGGAAGAUGUGUCUGGUCACCCAAAAGAUGAAAGACCUUUAUUUGCAGAUGAUGUGAACCAGUCUGGCUCUGAUAGAACCCUGGAAUCAUGUUUAGAUAAUAUAUCUGAUUUGCCUCCUCUACCUAUUGGAUCCCCUCCAUUACCUCCUUGUUCUCCUCCUCCCACUCCACCUUUGCCUUGUGGAAUCCUGUUUAGAUAAUAUAUCUGAUUUGCCUCCUCUACCUAUUGGAUCCCCUCCAUUACCUCCUUGUUCUCCUCCUCCCACUCCACCUUUGCCUUCUUCACCCCUUCUAUCACCUGCGCCACCUCCACCUCCAUCAUCUCCAUUGCCACCUCCACCACCACCACCACCACUUCCUAUAUCACAACCCCCACCACCUCCAUCUCAGCCGCAUACUUUCCCUUCACU